rnacentral:rRNA from 1 species
AGAGUUUGAUCAUGGCUCAGAUUGAACGCUGGCGGCAUGCCUUACACAUGCAAGUCGAACGGUAACAGGUCUUCGGAUGCUGACGAGUGGCGAACGGGUGAGUAAUACAUCGGAACGUGCCCGAUCGUGGGGGAUAACGAGGCGAAAGCUUUGCUAAUACCGCAUACAAUCUACGGAUGAAAGCGGGGGAUCUUCGGACCUCGCGCGGACGGAGCGGCCGAUGGCAGAUUAGGUAGUUGGUGGGAUAAAAGCUUACCAAGCCGACGAUCUGUAGCUGGUCUGAGAGGAUGAUCAGCCACACUGGGACUGAGACACGGCCCAGACUCCUACGGGAGGCAGCAGUGGGGAAUUUUGGACAAUGGGCGAAAGCCUGAUCCAGCCAUGCCGCGUGCAGGAUGAAGGCCUUCGGGUUGUAAACUGCUUUUGUACGGAACGAAAAGCCUCUUUCUAAUAAAGAGGGGUCAUGACGGUACCGUAAGAAUAAGCACCGGCUAACUACGUGCCAGCAGCCGCGGUAAUACGUAGGGUGCAAGCGUUAAUCGGAAUUACUGGGCGUAAAGCGUGCGCAGGCGGUUUUGUAAGACAGAGGUGAAAUCCCCGGGCUCAACCUGGGAACUGCCUUUGUGACUGCAAGGCUGGAGUGCGGCAGAGGGGGAUGGAAUUCCGCGUGUAGCAGUGAAAUGCGUAGAUAUGCGGAGGAACACCGAUGGCGAAGGCAAUCCCCUGGGCCUGCACUGACGCUCAUGCACGAAAGCGUGGGGAGCAAACAGGAUUAGAUACCCCGGUAGU